CCUACGGGAGGCAGCGGUGGGGAAUAUUGGACAAUGGGGGGAACCCUGAUCCAGCCAUGCCGCGUGUGUGAAGAAGGCCCUCGGGUUGUAAAGCACUUUCAGUGAGGAAGAACGCCUGGUGGUUAAUACCCAUCAGGAAAGACAUCACUCACAGAAGAAGCACCGGCUAACUCCGUGCCAGCAGCCGCGGUAAUACGGAGGGUGCGAGCGUUAAUCGGAAUUACUGGGCGUAAAGCGCGCGUAGGUGGCUUGAUAAGCCGGUUGUGAAAGCCCCGGGCUCAACCUGGGAACGGCAUCCGGAACUGUCAAGCUAGAGUGCAGGAGAGGAAGGUAGAAUUCCCGGUGUAGCGGUGAAAUGCGUAGAGAUCGGGAGGAAUACCAGUGGCGAAGGCGGCCUUCUGGACUGACACUGACACUGAGGUGCGAAAGCGUGGGUAGCAAACAGGAUUAGAUACCCGGGUAGUC
rnacentral:rRNA from 1 species